UACGGAGGGAGCUAGCGUUGUUCGGAAUUACUGGGCGUAAAGCGCGCGUAGGCGGCUUUGUAAGUUAGAGGUGAAAGCCCGGGGCUCAACCCCGGAACUGCCUUUAAGACUGCAUCGCUUGAAUCCGGGAGAGGUGAGUGGAAUUCCGAGUGUAGAGGUGAAAUUCGUAGAUAUUCGGAAGAACACCAGUGGCGAAGGCGGCUCACUGGACCGGUAUUGACGCUGAGACGCGAAAGCGUGGGGAGCGAACAGG
rnacentral:rRNA from 1 species